AAGAGUCUGGAGGUGGCGGUAUGGAAUCCCAUUAAGGUGCGAUUGGGAGUGAGCCGAGUCUCUUUGACCAGGCUAGAGCGCCAGCGCUCCUCUGACCCGGCACACUUUGGCAAAGUUGCAGUGGCCUGUUUGCUUAGGCACUGAAGUGGAUGACCCAAGUUAGGAUGACAACUUGCAGAGAACGCGGAUGAGACCUUCAGUUUGUGCCCACACUCAUUUGCAGCAACCCUAACAGAGAUUGCGAAGAUUUUCAAAGUGGGGCACCUCGAUUUCUCGAAUCUGUGGUGUGGCGAAUAUCCGUGUUCCUCCUGCUUAACUAGCCUGUUUGAAGGCACAGUUCAUUCUCGAGCAAUUCGUCACCUCCUGGGGGUCUUCUCUUCCCGUCUACAGGAGAGUGUGACUUCAGAAAGAACUUCGGAUUGGCCAAGGCCAUUAAAGCUGGUGAGCGACUUGGAAGUCAUUUAGAAAGGAACAGACCUUCAACCUCAAGCCUUUGCGGGCACUGGGAAAGUGUCUUCCCAAUCAAUCUGGCUUGCAGGCGGCAGGACCAACUCUGACCUGGCUUAUCUUGUACCCAUCCUAAAUACACCAAACUCAAGAGGUAGCCAGGGCCGCCUCAACACCGAGGCAGGUCUGAUUCUAUUUAUUCUAAAGACAGAGUUGGAGAUGGGCUACCAUUGGUGUUGAUUGAGAUGACAAGCAGUCACCUGAGCCCAUACAGCUGUGGGAGAAAGUGCUUGCUGCCAAGCUUGAUGACCUAAAUUGAAUACCUGGAACCUACACGACAGAAAGAGAGAGCUGACUGCUGAAAGAUGUCCUCAGAUCUUCACAUGUGCACAGUGGCACCUAUCCAACCAUGCACAUAGUAUAUUAAAAAUUAUUUUUUAAAAAA
rnacentral:lncRNA from 1 species